rnacentral:rRNA from 1 species
CAAGGAGUUAACACGUGCGCGAGUCUACGGGAUCUUUCCUGCAACCCGAAGGCGAAAUGAAAUGUGAGCACCCCUUCCCGGGGCGCGAGUCGCGAUCCCAGGACCUCGUGUCAGGGGCGCAGCGGCGGCCCGUCUGUGCGGCUCUGUCUGCCGGGCGGAGCUUGAGCGCACGUGCUGGCACCCGAAAGAUGGUGACCUAUUCUCGGGCAAGACGAGGCCAGAGGAAACUCUGGUGGAGGUCUGCAGCGAUUCUGACGUGCAAAUCGAUCGUCUGACCUGGGUAUAGGGGCGAAAGACUAAUCGAACCAUCUAGUAGCUGGUUCCCUCCGAAGUUUCCCUCAGGAUAGCUGGCGCUCCGAGCGAAACAGUCUCAUGCGGUAAAGCGAAUGAUUAGAGGCCUUGGGGUCGAAACGACCUCAACCUAUUCUCAAACUUUUAAUGCGUGAGGUGCCGGACUUUCUUAACUGAAGUCUGGCUCUCGAUGCGAGUGCCCAGUGGGCCACUUUUGGUAAGCAGAACUGGCGCUGUGGGAUGAACCAAACGCCGGGUUAAGGCGCCCGAUGCGAGACGCACAUGGGAUCCCAUUAAGGGUGUUGGUUGCUUAAGACAGCAGGGCGGUGGCCAUGGAAGUUGGA